rnacentral:rRNA from 1 species
UACGAAGGUCCCGAGCGUUAUCCGGAUUUAUUGGGUUUAAAGGGUGCGUAGGCGGGUUUUUAAGUCAGUGGUGAAAGCCUUCAGCUUAACUGAAGAAUGGCCAUUGAUACUGAAGAUCUUGAGUAUGAUUGAGGUGGGCGGAAUGUGUCAUGUAGCGGUGAAAUGCUUAGAUAUGACACAGAACACCGAUUGCGAAGGCAGCUCACUAAGCCAUAACUGACGCUGAUGCACGAAAGCGUGGGGAGCAAACAGG